rnacentral:rRNA from 1 species
GAGGCGUCCGGACUGGCCCAGAGGGGUGGGCAACCACCCUUCAGGGCCGGAAAGCUCUCCAAACUCGGUCAUUUAGAGGAAGUAAAAGUCGUAACAAGGUCUCCGUUGGUGAACCAGCGGAGGGAUCAUUA